rnacentral:rRNA from 1 species
UACAGAGGUCUCAAGCGUUGUUCGGAUUAAUUGGGCGUAAAGGGUGCGUAGGCGGCGCGGUAAGUCGGCCGUGAAAUCUUGGAGCUUAACUCCGAAACUGCAUUCGAUACUGCCGUGCUUGAGGACUGGAGAGGAGACUGGAAUUUACGGUGUAGCGGUGAAAUGCGUAGAUAUCGUAAGGAAGACCAGUGGCGAAGGCGGGUCUCUGGACAGUUCCUGACGCUGAGGCACGAAGGCCAGGGGAGCGAACGGG